rnacentral:rRNA from 1 species
GAUGAGCCCGCGUCUCAUUAGCUAGUUGGUAGGGUAAUGGCCUACCAAGGCAACGAUGAGUAGCUGGUCUGAGAGGAUGAUCAGCCACACUGGAACUGAAACACGGUCCAGACUCCUACGGGAGGCAGCAGUGGGGAAUAUUGCGCAAUGGGCGAAAGCCUGACGCAGCAACGCCGUGUGAGGGAUGAAGGCUUUCGGGUCGUAAACCUCUGUCAGAAGGGUAGAACGGGUGAUGGUCUAAUAGGCCGUCAUUUUGACGGUACCUUCAGAGGAAGCACCGGCUAACUCCGUGCCAGCAGCCGCGGUAAUACGGAGGGUGCAAGCGUUAUUCGGAAUUACUGGGCGUAAAGCGCACGUAGGCGGCCUUGUAAGUCAGGGGUGAAAUCCCACGGCUCAACCGUGGAACUGCCUUUGAAACUGCAGGGCUUGAAUCCUGGAGAGGGUGGCGGAAUUCCUGGUGUAGGAGUGAAAUCCGUAGAUAUCAGGAGGAACACCGGUGGCGAAGGCGGCCACCUGGACAGGUAUUGACGCUGAGGUGCGAAAGUGUGGGGAGCAAACAGGAUUAGAUACCCUGGUAGUCCACACCGUAAA